GAGUUUGAUCCUGGCUCAGGAUGAACGCUAGCGGCAGGCUUAACACAUGCAAGUCGAGGGGCAGCGCGGGUAGCAAUACCUGGCGGCGACCGGCAAACGGGUGCGGAACACGUACGCAAUUUACCUCUAUCUGGAAGAUAGCCCGAAGAAAUUCGGAUUAAUACUCCAUAGUAUAUUGGGAAGGCAUCUUCUUAAUAUUAAAGCUCAGGCGGAUAGAGAUGAGCGUGCGUCCCAUUAGGUAGUUGGUGAGGUAACGGCUCACCAAGCCAACGAUGGGGUAGCUGAUGUGAGAGCAUGAUCAGCCACACGGGGCACUGAGACACGGGCCCGACUCCUAUGGGAGGCAGCAGUGAGGAAUAUUGGGCAAUGGACGCAAGUCUGACCCAGCCAUGCCGCGUGCAGGAUGAAGGCGUUCUGCGUUGUAAACUGCUUUUAUCUGGGAAGAAACCUGAGUAUUCUUAUUCAGCCGACGGUACCAGAUGAAUAAGCACC
rnacentral:rRNA from 1 species